rnacentral:rRNA from 1 species
AGUGAACGCUGGCGGUAGGCCAACACAUGCAAGUCGAACGGCAGCACAGUAAGAGCUUGCUCUUACGGGUGGCGAGUGGCGGACGGGUGAGGAAUACAUCGGAAUCUACUUUUUCGUGGGGGAUAACGUAGGGAAACUUACGCUAAUACCGCAUACGACCUACGGGUGAAAGCAGGGGAUCUUCGGACCUUGCGCGAUUGAAUGAGCCGAUGUCGGAUUAGCUAGUUGGCGGGGUAAAGGCCCACCAAGGCGACGAUCCGUAGCUGGUCUGAGAGGAUGAUCAGCCACACUGGAACUGAGACACGGUCCAGACUCCUACGGGAGGCAGCAGUGGGGAAUAUUGGACAAUGGGCGCAAGCCUGAUCCAGCCAUACCGCGUGGGUGAAGAAGGCCUUCGGGUUGUAAAGCCCUUUUGUUGGGAAAGAAAAGCAGCAGGUUAAUACCCCGCUGUUCUGACGGUACCUAAAGAAUAAGCACCGGCUAACUUCGUG